rnacentral:rRNA from 1 species
AGCCAGACUCCUACGGGAGGCAGCAGUGGGGAAUAUUGCACAAUGGGGGAAACCCUGAUGCAGCGACGCCGCGUGAGCGAUGAAGUAUUUCGGUAUGUAAAGCUCUAUCAGCAGGGAAGAAAAUGACGGUACCUGACUAAGAAGCCCCGGCUAACUACGUGCCAGCAGCCGCGGUAAUACGUAGGGGGCAAGCGUUAUCCGGAUUUACUGGGUGUAAAGGGAGCGUAGACGGCAAUGCAAGCCAGAUGUGAAAGCCCGGGGCUCAACCCCGGGACUGCAUUUGGAACUGUGUAGCUGGAGUGUCGGAGAGGCAGGCGGAAUUCCUAGUGUAGCGGUGAAAUGCGUAGAUAUUAGGAGGAACACCAGUGGCGAAGGCGGCCUGCUGGACGAUGACUGACGUUGAGGCUCGAAAGCGUGGGGAGCAAACAGGAUUAGAUACCCGUGUAAC